rnacentral:rRNA from 1 species
UACAGAGGGUGCAAGCGUUAAUCGGAAUUACUGGGCGUAAAGGGUGCGUAGGUGGAUAUAUAAGUCAGAUGUGAAAUCCCUGGGCUUAACUUAGGAACUGCAUUUGAUACUGUGUAUCUAGAGUAUGGUAGAGGUAAGUGGAAUUUCCGGUGUAGCGGUGAAAUGCGUAGAUAUCGGAAGGAACACCAGUGGCGAAGGCGACUUACUGGACUGAUACUGACACUGAGGCACGAAAGCGUGGGGAGCGAACAGG